CACGAAAUAAAAGCCCAUGACCAGAUGGCUUCACUGAUGAAUUCUACCAAACAUUUAAUGAAGAAUUAACCUCAAUCCUUCAGAUUCUUCUGAAAAAUAGAAGAGGAGGGAACACUUCCCAGAAGCUGCCUCAGAGGCUGCCUGUCAACACACUCUAUUCUAAGUCUAAAUCCUCAACACAGCACUGCCAGUUUUUUAGAAUCUGGCCCCUGCACCACCUACCCCGUCCUCGUGCGUGUGGCGCUCUAAACUUCCUCUGUUGUUUGUAAGAGUGCACCGUGCUCUCUUCUCACCUCCUGGCCUUCACACCCGCUGGUCCUUCUGCCUGGUGUAGCCUCUCUGCCUCCCCGUCUCUUACUGAUUCCCCUCCACCUUUUGAGACAGCCCCUCCGCAGGAAAUUCCCCUGCACCCCUCCUGACUGUGUGAGGUGUCUCUCCUGAGGGCACCAUACCAUGCGCCUGUGCUCCUGCAGCACUUCUGACUCUGGAAAAAAAAUAUGCCCAUGCAUUUAUCUGCCUCUCUUCCCAGUCCUGGCAGACAGGAAUGGGGAUUUCAAUAGCUUGCAGGGUGCUUCUCACUAGCAAGGCACAUCAACCUUUGCUGAAUAAACGACCUCAGGAUAAGCAGGAGCCAGAGGAAUGCCCAGGUGAAGCCCCACGUCUGCCUGGCCAGGUGCAGUUGAAGUGGUGACAUCCAGCCAGGGAGGGGGAGGAGCACCUGAGACCAGCCUCCAGCCUUGGGGCAUCUGUUGUUGGAACCGGCCAGGUUCACUGAAGACUGGAAACAGG